GCCAGGUGUGGUGGCUCACGCCUGUAAUCCCAGCACUCUGGGAGGCUGAGGUGGGCGGAUCACCUGAGGUCAGGAGUUCAAGACCAGCCUGGCCAACAUGGUGAAACCCCAUCUCUA
ensembl:misc_RNA Metazoa_SRP Metazoan signal recognition particle RNA